UGAAUCUGAGUUUCUAAAAAGAAGUGC
rnacentral:sRNA from 1 species